AAAUAGGAACAUUCAUGCUUCCCAGGGCUCUGAAUCCCCGAUACGUACCGAAGUGUUGUUAGUAUAUUUUACUGAAGUCGAAAAAAAAAUGUAUGGACAGUCAUUUUUCACAUUGCAAGAAAAAUUAACGUGAAUUUUACGGGAACUUUUCUUAAAAAUGUUUUUGUUAAAACUCAUAUCUUUCUUACUUUCUUAUAUGCGUUGUGUGCUAUUAUUUAAAAGUUUUUCUUUGCAUUUAAACAUGAAAUAAACUUAAUGUGAUUUU
rnacentral:misc_RNA from 1 species